rnacentral:rRNA from 1 species
UACGUAGGGCGCAAGCGUUGUCCGGAAUUAUUGGGCGUAAAGAGCUCGUAGGCGGUCUGUCACGUCGGAUGUGAAAACUCGGGGCUCAACCCCGAGCCUGCAUUCGAUACGGGCAGACUUGAGUUCGGUAGGGGAGCGGGGAAUUCCUGGUGUAGCGGUGAAAUGCGCAGAUAUCAGGAGGAACACCAGUGGCGAAGGCGCCGCUCUGGGCCGAGACUGACGCUGAGGAGCGAAAGCGUGGGUAGCAAACAGG